UCACGGGCGCAGCUACUUCUCACGCCGGCUGCUUAGACUGCUGGGGGGAGUUUCUACUAAACCGGCGAUCGAGCGUAUGAAUCCGAAUGGGGUGAAAGGAAAGAAGAAAGAACACCCAGGUACAACGUGAGCAGGGCCUCAUCUGUCUACUCUUUGCUGCCGUGACCAUAUAAUGGAGUCAUAGUUUCCAGAAAACGUCUUCAUGGGGUGCUGGACUGUGGCAUCUGGCACCGACUGAUGUGUCCAUGGAAGGAGGUGUGUCCCAGAUGACUCUUUCUCCAGGAGAGGAAGGAUUUCAAUGCAGCUCCGUACGGGCAGCAGUGGGGAUGGCAGUAGAGUAUUUUGGUCGGAUCCGCGUUCAUGGCUGGCUGGAAGCCGAGGAAAACGUGAUGGAAGGCAGUCUUGGGAGGAACGGAGUCAUGCUGUGAGCUCAGUGGGAACACACCCACCAGUGCCGACAGAAAUGGAAUCAUGGACAUGAAUGCUGGUGACACGUAAACAAAGUUAUUAAAAGGAAAUUGAAUAAACUGUGGCACACAUCUCCUCACGAGUGCUGACGUUUUGCUGAACCCUGCAAGUUUCAAAUAAAACGAUGAGCUCUGCUUUAAUUAAUUAAAAAAGAAGAACUGUUUUCACAUGGAGCUUGAAGAGGUCUAGAAAUGUUUGGAGAGUAUCCAAAAUAUUUAUAGCAGCCUCCCGAGCCUUUAGGAUUGACUCAGCUAUUUGAACACAUGAAGAGUCAGUUUUUAACCUCCACGGACCGGCCAGUUGUCACGCUCAAGGCACCACGGUGGAGCUGCCACGCCCUCUCAGCGCAGCCAGCCAGACUCAGUCCCCAGGAAGGCUGUGCACAUUGGUGUGUCAGUCUCCUGGCCACCAAACAAGGACCAAGAUCGGGGUGUUAGAGGCCCCACGCCCCUGGAGGCCUUGGGGGAGGAUUCUUUCUGCCUCGUCCAGCUCCUGGAGUUGGCCAGCAGACCUUGGCUUGUAGACAUGUAACGUUAAUCUCUGUCCUUACACAAUCUUCCCUCUGUGUCUCUUCUCUUCUUAUAAAGACACCAGUCCUAUUGGAUCAGGACCUCAUCUUAACUAGUUACAUCUGCAAUGACCCUAUUUCCAAAUAAGGUCCCAUCCUGAAAUACUGUGGGCUUAGGACUCUUGCACAUGAAUUCGGGAUGACACCUUUAACCCAUAACAUUGGGUGAUGGAUGGCAAUGCUGGCAGAGCUUCACAGGGACUUGUCUGCCCCCUGCGUGCUUCAAAGGGGAGAUCGUGGUGCUCCAUUUCCCCAGGACAGCAGAGCCAAGUGGACCCAUCUUCUGGGUACUCCCACCUGUGCUGCUUUCAGGCGAUGGCUUGUUCUUCUGUCUUAUGGAUAUGACAUAAUUUCAAAGCCUGACUCUCAUUAAAAUAUAGAAUGAACAAGCGUCAGAGAUUUAUUAACUCGCCCUAGCCUGUGUGGCUUAGUGGUUAGAAUGUUGGCCCACACCCAAAGGGUCAAGGGUUCGAUUCCCAGUCAAGGGUACAUACCUGGAUUGCAGGUUCAAUCUCUAGCCCCAGUCAGGGCUUGUGCGGGAGGCAACCAGUCAAUGUGCCUCUCUCACAUUGAUGUUUCUCUCUCUCCCUCUGUCCCUUCCACUCUCUCUAAAAAUCAAUGGAAAAAAAUAUCUGUGGGUGAGGGUUAAUAGAAAAAAAGAGAUUUAUUAACUUAUUAACGAGGGAGCCAGGAAGUUGAUAAAGCUUGUUCAAAGAGUAUUUAAGGAGCAGGGUACUCACAGACAUUAAAGGAGGAAUGUGAGAGCAAGCAGGCUGGGUCAGAUACAAAGCUGGUGAAUGUCUUUCAAGGCCAUUUAUAUAUAUUGAAUGUAUCUUUUCCUGUGGGCAGAAAUUAUUCGCCUCUUUAUCAGAAAAGAUCUGAGCUCUCAUGUAACUUACAGAGUCUGAAUCUGUAAUUCAUAGUAAAUAGCCAUGUGAGACCAGGCAUUUGCGGCGAUGAUGAAAUAGCCUGGUGGGGCCCGGGAAGGAACGUCCCAGUGUGACAGUGGAGAGACUCGCCACCUGCUCUCUGACCUUAUUUCCAAGUGUGGAGAUAAGCACUUCCCCUAGAUAAUGGUAUGGCCACUGUGAGGAGGCCAUCUUGUGUAUCAGGAAGUAUCUUGGAGAACUCUUCACCGUGUAGGGAGUUAUCCACCAGCCUUUCAUCUGUUCUGUACUCAUGCUGAAGCAGUGAUUCUAGAUAAUAAGAAAGAGUGUACUUGGGCCAAAUUCCUUUACAAAGAAAUUCUAGGUGGAUAAAUGCCAGCACUCAGUUGGUAGACCACUGAGCGAAUUUGGGCAAUGUGAGCCUGGAGAUGCCUCCCUCAGGGCCACUCAUUUUCACAAAAGGUCGGUUUGUUGGGCAAUUCUUAUGUUGGUAUUUAUUGGAGAAGGAAUUCUUAGUGAAAUUUCUUUCGGGGAGCCAAGAAUAGGCACUUGGACUACGGCAUCUAUGAAACAAAUUCCAGGUACAACCAAUAAAUGUGGUCAAGUUCUUAGAAUUUAUAGUGAGAACCAACCCUCCUCUGUUACACUGUCAUUUAGGAUGUGCUGAUGGGAUGUGCUUAUAUUUCAUACACAGGGCACCCCAGACCUCAGGGUGGGGCCUUCCCUGAGUCAGGCAAGUAGAGGCAGGUCAUGGAGGUGGGGUGUGAAUGCGGGCCCCCUUCCUUCUGGCUCCUACAGGCAAAUCCCUUGCGACAAAGCACACCACGUGACCUGUCUCAAGGCGGAAGCUAAAGCACAAGCUCCCUCGGGAUCUAUUUCCCUGCUGGAAAUCUGUUACUAGAGUCUUGGGACUCAGAAGUGGAACCGGCUUCAUAGCAGUUCAUGUGACUGUCUGUCUUCUCAUCCCUGGCACUUUCCUUGUUGAAGAUCCUCUGGUAUUUAGUCACUCCUCAUCCUCCUGCAACUCACGAAAUCCAAGGUUAUAAUUGCCUAUCUGCAUGACAUAGGAAAUUUCCCAGGAAUUGGGCAGAGAGCAAACCUGGCCAGUACUUGAAAUUGCUUCAAGCAGUAUUGGUUUACUGGCCUUUAAACAACCAGCAUCCAGUUAACGGUCACAGGAGGAGCGAGAAGCAGCCGUCGGAACGUUGCGAUGAUCUGUGUGUGUACGCAGUGAAGCAAAUGGUGUGCGUGUACUGAAGAUGUGCACGCAAGAAGGCCUGCGUCAGAAUGCUGAAGCCUUCCUCCAUUCCAGGUUUUUAGGGUUUGGAACAGGCAUGAUUUAUGCAUCACACAAAAAUGGAUUUUCUUUUACUGGCUUUUUAUUGCAAGAGGCAAGGGGAACACAACCAAUUAGUUAUGGUCGGUCAGAGUUGCCAAAUCCUAUAUGAUCACAGAGGAGAGAGAGCUAAGUAGGGCUUAGGAAAGCACAUUUCAUUGGCCCCAAAGGCAAGGAGAUUAGUAUAUUCUGGUGCCGAGAAUGAGCUAAUGAUGUCCAGGGAUUUAACAAAAUAAAUGACUUGUUGAAGUUAUACCCGCUAAAGUCGUGGUUUGCCAAGUGUGAUGCAGGCAGCCCUGGAAACUGCUACAUUUUGGAGGAAGGAUGCAGAGGCUGGAGCCAAGGAGACAGAAAUGCCUGCCUGCUCCUCUCCAGGCUGCGGUGGAGUCCGGCCGCCCCUCCCACAGCCUGAGAGGGUUCACUACAAGGGGCUGACACCCCUAUGUACGGUGUGCUUGUUGAGGACCAUAGAAAUGCGAAGGGAUUUAGACUUGAUUUCAUGCACCUGGACUUGAUUUCAGGCUUCUGGACUCUGCAUGUGAGCCGAAUCAUGUUGGAACGCAGAAGGAAAGCGGUGGCACUACCCUCCUGGUGUGUAUUUGUGAAAUAGAAGUCCCGGUUGAGCGGAUAGCUUUAAUUUUUAUGAAACUCAGGUUGAAGACAUUGU